rnacentral:rRNA from 1 species
GACGAAGGGGGCUAGCGUUGUUCGGAAUUACUGGGCGUAAAGCGAGUGUAGGUGGUUGCCGUAGUCAGGCGUGAAAGCCUCGAGCUCAACUCGAGAAAUGCGCUUGAUACUGGGCAGCUAGAGGACCGGAGAGGAUAGUGGAAUUCCCAGUGUAGUGGUGAAAUACGUAGAGAUUGGGAAGAACACCAGUGGCGAAGGCGGCUAUCUGGACGGUUUCUGACACUAAGACUCGAAAGCGUGGGGAGCAAACAGG